rnacentral:rRNA from 1 species
GAUGAACGCUGGCGGCGUGCCUAAUACAUGCAAGUCGAGCGAACGGACGAGAAGCUUGCUUCUCUGAUGUUAGCGGCGGACGGGUGAGUAACACGUGGAUAACCUACCUAUAAGACUGGGAUAACUUCGGGAAACCGUAGCUAAUACCGGAUAAUAUUUUGAACCGCAUGGUUCAAAAGUGAAAGACGGUCUUGCUGUCACUUAUAGAUGGAUCCGCGCUGCAUUAGCUAGUUGGUAAGGUAACGGCGUACCAAGGCAACGAUGCAUAGCCGACCUGAGAGGGUGAUCGGCCACACUGGAACUGAGACACGGUCCAGACUCCUACGGGAAGCAGCAGUAGGGAAUCUUCCGCAAUGGGCGGAAGGCUGACGGAGCAACGCCGCGUGAAUGAUGAAGGUCUUCGGAUCGGAAAACUCUGUUAUUAGGGAAGAACAAAUGUGUAAGUAACUGUGCACAUCUUGACGGUACCUAAUCAGAAAGCCACGGCUAACUACGUG